rnacentral:rRNA from 1 species
UACAGAGGUCUCAAGCGUUGUUCGGAUUCAUUGGGCGUAAAGGGCGCGUAGGCGGCAAGGCAAGUCGGGUGUGAAAGCUUGGGGCUUAACCCCGAAAGGGCACUCGAAACUGCCCUGCUAGAGGGCCGGAGAGGAGAUCGGAAUUCACGGUGUAGCAGUGAAAUGCGUAGAGCUCGUGAGGAAGACCGGUGGCGAAGGCGGCCUUCUGGACCAAUACUGACGCUCAUGCACGAAAGCGUGGGGAGCAA